GCUGUUUUCGGGAAAAUUGGAGCGAUUGUUGGAUUGUCGGAAAUAUUGUGCAACUUGUUUGAAAUGUCCUUGAAUAUUGUUGGUAUGAGUUCGGGUUUGUAUUUGAAUGUAUAAGCGGUAAUGUGGCUUAAAUGUAAGCCGUCGAAUUGAAUAUUAUGAAUGUUGUAGAAUGAUGUAAAAGAGAGUUAUUAAUGUUAUAUUGCCUUUCGGAUUGGUUAUUGAUGUUGCUAGGUUGGUUGUUGUUGUUGAUGUUGAUUUGGCCGAGUUAAAUUCUCGGGGUUGACCUGUUUACAAGGGAAAUGCUGCCCAAAUUUCUGUAGAAUUUAGUGCUAAUUUGGAAUUAAUUGCCUAAAUACCUAUAGCUAAUGUUCGGCAUAUUAUGACGUAUUUGUAGACCUUGAGAAGCCCGAGGCGUAGGUUGGGAUUAGCUUGAAUUUGGGCUAGCUUGGAGUGCGUACGAGGUACAGACGCACAGCCUGGUGAUCCACCUGUUUAGGACACCCCUUCUGCUAUUCGGAGUGCUCCUCUCAUUCCGGAGCUUAUAUUUUUGGUAUAUAUUUGUUAGUGCAUUUGUAUAUAUUCGUUCAUGGGUACGGCGGGGCCCUGUCCCGUCAUAUGAUUCUGUCUGUCUGUUUAGAGGUCUGUGGACAUGUUUGUGGGUUAGGGUCUUUACGUACGGAUGCGUGUGUAUAUGUUGUGUUUGGGCGAUCCCAU